rnacentral:rRNA from 1 species
UACGUAGGUGGCAAGCGUUAUCCGGAUUUACUGGGUGUAAAGGGCGUGUAGGCGGGAAAGCAAGUCAGAUGUGAAAACCAUGGGCUCAACCUGUGGCCUGCAUUUGAAACUGUUUUUCUUGAGUACUGGAGAGGCAGACGGAAUUCCUAGUGUAGCGGUGAAAUGCGUAGAUAUUAGGAGGAACACCAGUGGCGAAGGCGGCCAACUGGGCUUUAACUGACGCAGAGGCUCGAAAGUGUGGGGAGCAAACAGG